rnacentral:rRNA from 1 species
AGCGUACACGGUGGAUGCCCUGGCAGUCAGAGGCGAUGAAGGACGUGCUAAUCUGCGAUAAGCGUCGGUAAGGUGAUAUGAACCGUUAUAACCGGCGAUUUCCGAAUGGGGAAACCCAGUGUGUUUCGUCACACUAUCAUUAACUGAAUCCAUAGGUUAAUGAGGCGAACCGGGGGAACUGAAACAUCUAAGUACCCCGAGGAAAAGAAAUCAACCGAGAUUCCCCCAGUAGCGGCGAGCGAACGGGGAGGAGCCCAGAGCCUGAAUCAGUGUGUGUGUUAGUGGAAGCGUCUGGAAAGGCGCGCGAUACAGGGUGACAGCCCCGUACACAAAAAUGCACAUACUGUGAGCUCGAUGAGUAGGGCGGGACACGUGGUAUCCUGUCUGAAUAUGGGGGGACCAUCCUCCAAGGCUAAAUACUCCUGACUGACCGAUAGUGAACCAGUACCGUGAGGGAAAGGCGAAAAGAACCCCGGCGAGGGGAGUGAAAAAGAACCUGAAACCGUGUACGUACAAGCAGUGGGAGCCUCUUUAUGGGGUGACUGCGUACCUUUUGUAUAAUGGGUCAGCGACUUAUAUUCUGUAGCAAGGUUAACCGAAUAGGGGAGCCGAAGGGAAACCGAGUCUUAACUGGGCGUUAAGUUGCAGGGUAUAGACCCGAAACCCGGUGAUCUAGCCAUGGGCAGGUUGAAGGUUGGGUAACACUAACUGGAGGACCGAACCGACUAAUGUUGAAAAAUUAGCGGAUGACUUGUGGCUGGGGGUGAAAGGCCAAUCAAACCGGGAGAUAGCUGGUUCUCCCCGAAAGCUAUUUAGGUAGCGCCUCGUGAAUUCAUCUCCGGGGGUAGAGCACUGUUUCGGCAAGGGGGUCAUCCCGACUUACCAACCCGAUGCAAACUGCGAAUACCGGAGAAUGUUAUCACGGGAGACACACGGCGGGUGCUAACGUCCGUCGUGAAGAGGGAAACAACCCAGACCGCCAGCUAAGGUCCCAAAGUCAUGGUUAAGUGGGAAACGAUGUGGGAAGGCCCAGACAGCCAGGAUGUUGGCUUAGAAGCAGCCAUCAUUUAAAGAAAGCGUAAUAGCUCACUGGUCGAGUCGGCCUGCGCGGAAGAUGUAACGGGGCUAAACCAUGCACCGAAGCUGCGGCAGCGACACUAUGUGUUGUUGGGUAGGGGAGCGUUCUGUAAGCCUGUGAAGGUGUACUGUGAGGUAUGCUGGAGGUAUCAGAAGUGCGAAUGCUGACAUAAGUAACGAUAAAGCGGGUGAAAAGCCCGCUCGCCGGAAGACCAAGGGUUCCUGUCCAACGUUAAUCGGGGCAGGGUGAGUCGACCCCUAAGGCGAGGCCGAAAGGCGUAGUCGAUGGGAAACAGGUUAAUAUUCCUGUACUUGGUGUUACUGCGAAGGGGGGACGGAGAAGGCUAUGUUGGCCGGGCGACGGUUGUCCCGGUUUAAGCGUGUAGGCUGAUUUUCCAGGCAAAUCCGGAAAAUCAAGGCUGAGGCGUGAUGACGAGGCACUACGGUGCUGAAGCAACAAAUGCCCUGCUUCCAGGAAAAGCCUCUAAGCAUCAGGUAACAUCAAAUCGUACCCCAAACCGACACAGGUGGUCAGGUAGAGAAUACCAAGGCGCUUGAGAGAACUCGGGUGAAGGAACUAGGCAAAAUGGUGCCGUAACUUCGGGAGAAGGCACGCUGAUAUGUAGGUGAAGCGACUUGCUCGUGGAGCUGAAAUCAGUCGAAGAUACCAGCUGGCUGCAACUGUUUAUUAAAAACACAGCACUGUGCAAACACGAAAGUGGACGUAUACGGUGUGACGCCUGCCCGGUGCCGGAAGGUUAAUUGAUGGGGUUAGCGGUAACGCGAAGCUCUUGAUCGAAGCCCCGGUAAACGGCGGCCGUAACUAUAACGGUCCUAAGGUAGCGAAAUUCCUUGUCGGGUAAGUUCCGACCUGCACGAAUGGCGUAAUGAUGGCCAGGCUGUCUCCACCCGAGACUCGG